rnacentral:rRNA from 1 species
AUUGAACGCUGGCGGCAGGCCUAACACAUGCAAGUCGGGCGAGCGGCGGACGGGUGAGUAAUGUAUGGGGAUCUGCCUGAUGGAGGGGGAUAACUACUGGAAACGGUAGCUAAUAGCGCGUGCCAUAGGAUGAGGCCACGUGGGAUUAGGUAGUUGGUGCGGUAAAGGCUCACCAAGCCGACGAUCUCUAGCGGGGCUGCGAGGAUGACCAGCCACGCUGGUACUGAGACACGGCCCAGACUCCUACGGGAGUCAGCAGUGGUGAAUAUUGCGCCAUCGGGGCAACCUGACCCAGCCAUGCCGCGUGAAUGAAGAAGGCCUUCGGGUUGUAAAGUUCUUUCGGUAGCGAGGCGUUAACUACAGAAGAAGCACCGGCUAACUCCGUGCCAGCAGCCGCGGUAAUAC